rnacentral:rRNA from 1 species
ACUCAAAUGAAUUGACGGGGGCCUGAACAAGCGGUGGAGCAUGUGGUUUAAUUCGAAACAACGCGCAAAACCUUACCAGCUCUUGACAUUAUUUUUGGGCUAUGAAAAUAGCUCAUUUAAAUUUAAUACAGGUGUUGCAUGGCUGUCGUCAGCUCGUGUCGUGAGAUGUUGGGUUAAGUCCUAUAACGAGCGCAACCCCUAUAUCUAGUUAAUUCAUUUUAUACUUUAAAAUGUACUCUAGAUAGACUGCCUGUGAUAAACAGGAGGAAGGUAGGGAUGACGUCAAGUCCUCAUGACCCUUAUGGGCUGGGCUACACAUGUGCUACAAUGGUAAUAACAAUAAGAAGCAAUGAUGUAAAUCGGAGCAAAUCUUUUAAAUAUUAUCUCAGUCCAGAUUGUUCUCUGCAACUCGAGAACAUGAAGUAGGAAUCGCUAGUAAUCGCAGAUCAGAACGCUGCGGUGAAUACGUUCCCAGGCCUUGUACACACCGCCCGU